AGAAUCAACGCUGGCGGCGUGCCUAACACAUGCAAGUCGAACGAGAAAGUGGUAGCAAUACCAUGAGUAAAGUGGCGCACGGGUGAGUAACACGUGACUAACCUACCCUUGAGUGGGGGAUAACUGAGGGAAACCUUAGCUAAUACCGCAUAAUACCCACGGGUCAAAGGAGCAAUUCGCUCGAGGAGGGGGUCGCGGCCGAUUAGUUAGUUGGCGGGGUAAUGGCCCACCAAGACGAUGAUCGGUAUCCGGCCUGAGAGGGCGCACGGACACACUGGAACUGAAACACGGUCCAGACUCCUACGGGAGGCAGCAGUGGGAAUUUUGCGCAAUGGGGGAAACCCUGACGCAGCAACGCCGCGUGGAGGAUGAAGUCCUUCGGGACGUAAACUCCUUUCGAUCGGGACGAUUAUGACGGUACCGGAAGAAGAAGCCCCGGCUAACUUCGCGCCAGCAGCCGC
rnacentral:rRNA from 1 species